AAAUUAAAGGGCUGCAGUAUUUUGACUGUACAAAGGUAGCAUAAUCAUUAGUCAUUUAAUUGAUGACUUGUAUGAAAGAUUGGAUGAAAUAUAGACUGUUUCUUAAUUAAUUAUAAAAUUUAAUUUUUUUAUUAAAAAGUUAAAAUAAAUUAAAAAGACGAGAAGACCCUAUAGAGUUUUAUAAAUAAAAAAAUUAAUAUUAUUUAUAAUUAUUAAAGUUAAAAUUUUAUUAUUUAUUUUGUUGGGGUGACAAAAAAAUUUAUAUAACUUUUUUUUUUAGAAAACAUUAAUAAGUGAAUAAAUGAUCCAAUAAUAUUGAUUAAAAGAAAAAAUUACCUUAGGGAUAACAGCGUAAUUUUUUUUUUUAGUUCAAAUAAGAAAAAGAGUUUGCGACCUCGAUGUUGGAUUAAGAUAAAAUUUAAAUGCAGAAGUU
rnacentral:rRNA from 1 species